rnacentral:lncRNA from 1 species
GUGUAGAAGAGUCCGUUUUUACAUAUUACUGAAAAAAAGAACUUUCCUGAAUUGUAGGAAUUGUAGGUAGGUAGGGGGUGCAGUAUGUGAAGCCUUUACCUGAAAACAUCCCGUCUCCUCCUUUUCUGUUAGGCUUCUUUGCCUACACCUGUGGCUGCAUCAUCGUGGUUGAAGACCUGCACUCAGGAUCACAGAAUCACUGGCUUGGCCAUGCAGAGGAGAUCUCUACACUUGCUGUCAGCCAUGAUGCCCAGGUUCUUGCCUCUGCCUCGGGAAAGAAGAAUGGAGACUCCUGUUGUCAGAUCUGCAUCUGGAAUGUCCAGGAUGGGGUUUGCACAGCAAGUCUCUUCCAUCACAAGACACAAGUACAAGCCAUGGCAUUCUCUCGGGAUGAUAGAUUCCUUGUUACCCUAGGUGAGUACACUCAUAACACCAGGUGUGGGUGCAGGAGUACACCCUAGGGUGGGCAGCUCAUGGGAGGUAGAUGUGUAAUACUUGCGAGAUACAUACCAGGCUUGUGGGUAUGAAGCUGUUGCUUGGUAGCUUUGGGGCAAUGGAUAAUCCAGCGUGUAAAACUGCAAGUGAUCUCGGGUCCUCCUGGGAGUGACCGCCUGCAGAGGUACCCUUUACAGCUAAGCAUACUUCUAGGGCACUGUUGGCAGCAUUUCAAGAGGAAGCAGGCACCCUAUACAGCUGAGCGUGUUUCCAGGGCACUGUUGGCAGGGUUUUGAGGGGAAGCAUGCACCCUGUACAUCUCGGGCACAGGCAUGAACGCUGGGGUCCCCCCAGCUCCCUUUCAGUUCUUUCUCAUUGCCCCAGCUAGCUUGUUUAUCUUGAAGUUACAGCUUGCUUCUCCUGGCUCACUAGUGCUUGUUAAGCCCGUCUAAAUAGUGUUCAGUUACUAUAUAUAGUGUCCAAAGGGAAAAGCCUUCUUCUGGACUUCUUAUUGCUGCUUAGGUGGAAUUGCAUAGAAGUAGCCAGGCUUCAAACUGUGAGCCUCCUGCCAGGCAGCGAUGCCAGCACAAGACGGAUGCUCAAGCUGUCUGUUUUGUUUAGGCAGGGGACAUUUAAAGGACAAAUAUGCAAUUAGUAAGUUCUUGUUUUGCAUGAGAGAGGACCUGUGGAGCAGGCGAUACACUCUCUCUGGGCUGGUGAGUCUGCCCUUGGAAAAAAGCAAGCUUUGCUGGAGAGA